rnacentral:rRNA from 1 species
UACGGGAGGCAGCAGUGGGGAAUAUUGCACAAUGGGCGCAAGCCUGAUGCAAGCCAUGCCGCGUGUAUGAAGAAGGCCUUCGGGUUGUAAAGUACUUUCAGCAGUGAGGAAGGUGGAUUAUGUUAAUAGCAUAUUCAUUUGACGUUAGCUGCAGUAAGAAGUCACCGGCUUAACUCCCGUGCCAGCAGCCGCGGUAAUACGGAGGGUGCGAGCGUUUAAUCGGAAUUACUGGGCGUAAAGCGCAUGCAGGUGGUUUGUUAAGUCAGAUGUGAAAGCCCGGGGCUCAACCUCGGAAUUGCAUUUGAAACUGGCAAACUAGAGUACUGUAGAGGGGGUAGAAUUUCAGGUGUAGCGGUGAAAUGCGUAGAGAUCUGAAGGAAUUACCGGUGGCGAAGGCGGCCCCCUGGACAGAUACUGACACUCAGAUGCGAAAGCGUGGGGAGCAAACAGGAUUAGAUACCCUGGUAG